CAUCGUGGACCGGAAUUCCUGGUUACUGUCGCUUCACUAUCGCCUUGGAAGAUGGUGAUUUCGAGCGUGCAUUAACUUGCAUCGUUAAAUUUAGAGACAUAGUUGGUAAAUGAAAAACACUCUAGCCAAGAGUCUAGCACGCCUCUCUCCUUUUUGCUGUGUUUCACAAGGCUGUGAAAUAUAAGCUUCAUUUCCUGUGAUGAGCAAGAACACCUGUUUUGCUGCAACUUGGUCAUUCUCUAACGCAUUUGUAUUCAAUAAUCUUUUUGGUGUUUGAUUUGAAUUCCAUUGUUGGAAUUACAUUUGUUCCUGUACCAACCUUAUUGGGGUGUAGGGAAGAGGUAUAAGAAUAAAAAAGAUUUUCGGCCGAACUUGAUAAUUAGAAAUUGUACAGUUAGUUUAAAAUUAAUAAGUUGCAAUUUCAAUCCCGACGUUUUCAUUCGGAUGAUUCAGAUUAUCAUUUUGGAUUUAUCCGACAAUUAUAGAUGCUCUACCCCAAUUUGUUUUGUCCUUUACUAUUCAAAGUAGAAAAGUGCUCAUUGGAUUAGGCUCACCAUUGGAGAGGAUGCAGAUAAAAAAAUUAAUUUUAAAUCUAACGCUACAAAUUACCAUUAAGAAGAGAGAUUAAAACAAAUAAAAUCACUAUGCUUUCGUGAUAAAUUAUGAUUAAAUCAUAUAUUUCCACCGAUAAGAAAUUUGUAUCUUAAAUUGCCGUAAUAGAUUAUUUGCACGUCUGAUUUCUAAUAUUUGCUGAUAUCUUUAUUUAUACCGACUGAUUUUGCCUUUUUGACGAUCUAUAUUAAUGGUAGAACAAUCUACAACCAAA
rnacentral:lncRNA from 1 species